GCAAAAGGAGCAUUGUUUUCCAUAAUUCUUUCCUCUUCCUCUUCCAUAAUUGCGCCAUGUAGGGUUAGUACCGUUGUUCUUUCCAUUCAUCUUUUGACCAUAUUGGUUGGCAUUGUUGAUGAGAAUUUUUGUAUCCACUACUGCACUUUCGUUUAGAUGUCUCUCCUGUUGCAGAACCAGAGAGAAGACACGGUUGACCCCUGGAAGGGGAUCCAUUAAUAAGACUUGCGUUUUUACAGUGUUGUAGCUCUCUCCCAAUCCCUUCAAAAAGCACAUGAUUCUCUGUAUUCUGCCAUGGUUUUCAUCACAUUGCACGUACAUUUCGAUUUGCAGGUGCAGGUAGGUAGAGGAUGCAAAGAAUCCAGCUCUUCCCAUAACGUUUUAGAAUCAGUGUAGUACUCAUUGAUGCUUCUUUCACCCUGUUUGAUAGAAUUGAUUUCUUGCAGAAGGUCAGAAAUGCGAAAAUGACUCCCUUUUGAGAAUCUUUCUUCAAGAUCGUUCCAUAGAUCUCUUGCAUUAUCAAUGUACACAGUGCUUUGUGCAAUCUGUGUGUUAAGGCUUCGUGUAAUCCAGGAAACAACUGUAACGUUGCAUCUCUCCCAUGCUUCGUAUUUGGCAUCAUUACGUGAGGGUUCAAGAAUCUCACCAUUGACAAAUUUGUAUUUGUUUUUCGACAGUAACACACGUUUCAUUGCUCUGCUCCAUGAAUGAUAGUUCGUUCCAUCAAGAUGCGGCGUGACCAGCACCAUGCCUGGGUUUUCUCCAGGAUGGAGAUAAUAUGGACUAGCGGGAUUUUGUAGAUCAUUCUUGAAUGAAUCUUGUAUACUAGCAGCCAUUGUCGGAAAAACAAAGCAAGAAGCAAAAGGAAAAAAAACGAAGAACGAAGAGAGCAAGAUAAGAUAGCAGAGUUUAAGAGACAACCAGUUUGCAGCGAGAGCAGAGCGGGUUAGACCCGCUCUGAUACCAUUUUGAGGUUCUGCAUUCCCACAGUGAGUAAUAAAGGGCAGAGCCAAGGAAAGAGAAGAUGAACAGUAACAAUGAGAGAGAAACUGAAAUAUACUAAAGCUUUUAUUAUUAACGUAAUGUUUCACGUUUUUCAUGCAUCGAGUUGCAUGCAUUGAGUCAUAUAUAUAUAUACACGUGAAGAACGAAAGGAGAGAGGACUCAGC
rnacentral:lncRNA from 1 species